UUUAUCCUUCCAGUCAUGCUGGAGACUUCCAAAGCUGCUUCUCCACCUGGGAUGUGAUGUGAAGCUGUGGACACGUGUGUCGAUUCGACAACUAAUCUUCACCACGUUAAUGUGUCACGUUGGGCUUCAACCUCAAUAUGUCCUGAAAUGACCUCAGAAUGCCCACAUCCCUCCAAACACCGCAUUCUUGAAUUCCAUCCAGAAUGCCACACUACAUUUACUCAUCAAAAUGCAACUUGUUAAAGUUGUAUCUCAUGGAACAUUUACCAAAAUUGAUCAUAUGCUGGGCUAUAAAAUAAAGCAACUGAGGCUCGGUGAACUUGUAAUGCCUUUAGUGUCAGAGAUCUAGAAUGGGUGAAGCCCAGAUUCAGACCCAGGCGUCGUGGCUCCCAAGUCUGCUUGUGGACCCUUGAAAGCAAGGGCGAGCCAUAAGCAUUGCACCUUUGAGAGAACUGCAAGUGUGGAAUUGGCCCCAAACUCAGAGUCCGUCUGGGUACUCAGUCCUGUGUCAGUUUAAUGUUGGUGUCCUUCUUGACCUCCUCCUAUAGACUUUGUGUUGCCUUAGACUUAGGAAUCUUGUCCUUGGCGGAUGGGACAGUGAACUCAGUCUUCAUCCACUGACUUGAGGAUUUAGUAGCUCUUGAUUCGGAUCCAAGAACCACACUAUGAGCUAAGUAAUCAGGCUUCCUGCUUUAUGAGCUAAACAUGUAUAUGUAUAUAAUAUGUAUAUAUUGUAUAUGUAUGUAUAUUUUAUAUAUAUAUGUAGUUGAACAACAUGAGUUUGAGCUAUGCAGGCCCACCUAUGUGUUGAUUUUCUUCCACUUUUGCUACCCAUGAGAUGGCGGACCAAAGCCUCUUCUUCCUCCUCCUCUCAGCCUGCUCAACAUGAAGAUGAUGAGGAUGAAGGCUUUAUGAUGAUCCACUUCCGUUUAAUGAAUAGGCUUUCAAUGGAAAGAGGCCAUGUUCCCUGUCUGGGUAGACAAGGGGCCAGUGAAAAGAGAACAGAAAGAGCUCCUGUAUCAGCUAAGAAGGCCUCCAUUUGAGCCAACGCUAUUCCCAAUCAGCCUUGUCUGAUCCCAGAAUGGCUCUUCUGAGAACAGGAAGGUUUUCAAUUCUUCCUACCACACCAACCAGUCUCAGAGAGAAACCAAAUCAACGAUCUGUCAGACUCCUACCGCACAUUAGAAGAAAACAAAUGAAACAAAUGUUUUGAAGAUGUCUCCAGAGGUGCCCAGUAGAAGGGGGUGGGAAUGGAGAUGUAAGCGAGGAAAUGGUCUGUUUUGUGCCUUGAA